ACGCUAGCGACAGGCUUAACACAUGCAAGUCGAGGGGCAGCACAGGUAGCAAUACCGGGUGGCGACCGGCGCACGGGUGAGUAACGCGUAUGCAACUUACCUAUCAGAGGGGGAUAACCCGGCGAAAGUCGGACUAAUACCGCAUGAAGCAGGGGCCCCGCAUGGGGAUAUUUGCUAAAGAUUCAUCGCUGAUAGAUAGGCAUGCGUUCCAUUAGGCAGUUGGCGGGGUAACGGCCCACCAAACCGACGAUGGAUAGGGGUUCUGAGAGGAAGGUCCCCCACAUUGGUACUGAGACACGGACCAAACUCCUACGGGAGGCAGCAGUGAGGAAUAUUGGUCAAUGGCCGAGAGGCUGAACCAGCCAAGUCGCGUGAGGGAUGAAGGUUCUAUGGAUCGUAAACCUCUUUUAUAAGGGAAUAAAGUGCGGGACGUGUCCCGUUUUGUAUGUACCUUAUGAAUAAGGAUCGGCUAACUCCGUGCCAGCAGCCGCGGUAAUACGGAGGAUCCGAGCGUUAUCCGGAUUUAUUGGGUUUAAAGGGUGCGUAGGCGGCCUUUUAAGUCAGCGGUGAAAGUCUGUGGCUCAACCAUAGAAUUGCCGUUGAAACUGGGGGGCUUGAGUAUGUUUGAGGCAGGCGGAAUGCGUGGUGUAGCGGUGAAAUGCAUAGAUAUCACGCAGAACCCCGAUUGCGAAGGCGGCCUGCCAAGCCAUGACUGACGCUGAUGCACGAAAGCGUGGGGAUCAAACAGGAUUAGAUACCCUGGUAGUCCACGCAGUAAACGAUGAUCACUAGCUGUUUGCGAUACACUGUAAGCGGCACAGCGAAAGCGUUAAGUGAUCCACCUGGGGAGUACGCCGGCAACGGUGAAACUCAAAGGAAUUGACGGGGGCCCGCACAAGCGGAGGAACAUGUGGUUUAAUUCGAUGAUACGCGAGGAACCUUACCCGGGUUUGAACGCAUUCGGACCGAGGUGGAAACACCUUUUCUAGCAAUAGCCGUUUGCGAGGUGCUGCAUGGUUGUCGUCAGCUCGUGCCGUGAGGUGUCGGCUUAAGUGCCAUAACGAGCGCAACCCUUGCCACUAGUUACUAACAGGUAAAGCUGAGGACUCUGGUGGGACUGCCAGCGUAAGCUGCGAGGAAGGCGGGGAUGACGUCAAAUCAGCACGGCCCUUACAUCCGGGGCGACACACGUGUUACAAUGGCGUGGACAAAGGGAGGCCACCUGGUGACAGGGAGCGAAUCCCCAAACCACGUCUCAGUUCGGAUCGGAGUCUGCAACCCGACUCCGUGAAGCUGGAUUCGCUAGUAAUCGCGCAUCAGCCAUGGCGCGGUGAAUACGUUCCCGGGCCUUGUACACACCGCCCGUCAAGCCAUGGGAGCCGGGGGUACCUGAAGUCCGUAACCGAAAGGAUCGGCCUAGGGUAAAACUGGUGACUGGGGCUAAG
rnacentral:rRNA from 1 species